UAACACAUGCAAGUCGAGCGGAGAUAGAUUGAAGCCUAGCGAUUUCUAUCUUAGCGGCGGAUGGGUGAGUAACACGUGGGUAACCUGCCCUGUACUGGGGAAUAACAGCUGGAAACGGCUGUUAAUGCCGCAUAUGCGCACGGAGCCGCAUGGCUCCGGGCGGAAAGAUUUAUCGGUACAGGAUGGGCCCGCGCCGGAUUAACUAGUUGGCGGGGUAACGGCCCACCAAGGUGAUGAUCCGUAGCCGACCUGAGAGGGUGACCGGCCACAUUGGGACUGAGACACGGCCCAAACUCCUACGGGAGGCAGCAGUGGGGGAUAUUGCACAAUGGGGGAAACCCUGAUGCAGCGACGCCGCGUGAAGGAUGAAGUAUUUCGGUAUGUAAACUUCUAUCAGCGGGGAAGAAGAUGACGGUACCCGACCAAGAAGCCCCGGCUAACUACGUGCCAGCAGCCGCGGUAAUACGUAGGGGGCAAGCGUUAUCCGGAUUUACUGGGUGUAAAGGGAGCGU
rnacentral:rRNA from 1 species